GAGCCUGUUGCUGAACGCACCAUCCAACCGUGCUGUGUCGCUAAGGGAGGAUAGGCUACUUGUGGAGAAGGAACAGAUCUCCAGCUGGAAAACAAGCCCACAUCUGUCUGCAUGGCACGAGAGCUGAGUAGCUUCGGCAACCAGGUCUCGAGGGAUAUCUGAUUACAUGCAAGAGCGGAUUUUUUUAUCAGGUGUCAUCUUGUUGUGCGAGGAAGGGAAAAGUUGUCAGGAAUAGUUGUGCGCUUUUGCGUUGCUGAAUCUGGGUGUCAAUGAAAAAUUGUGAGGGGUGACACGUGAAUGUUGCCUCCAGUUGAGCGCGUGUCUUAUUAGUCAGUAUCUAUCUUUUAAAUCAGCCUUGUGUUCAUGAUCGGGAAAUCAGUGCAACAUCUGGAAGCAUCUUCAAGUCCCCCUGUCAAACAUUUAAAACAAAGACUGUCUUUUUCUUUGCGGCACCAGGCCGAGUUCUGUAACAGGUGGUUUUUAUUGCGCGUCUCAUUUUGGACUAUUUGGUAUUUAUUUUUUGUUAAAUGAGACAUGCACGUCAUUAUACGGACUUGGGUGUGAAAUGACGGCGCACUUUUCGUUGAUUUUCUGAUUUUUGUUCGAGUGGACACCAGUUGGUAAGGUCCCUGCUUCUCAAUGAUAAGCUCGGUGUGUGUUUCGUCUUACCGAGGGCGCAAGUCAGGCAACAAACCUCCGUCGAAAACAUGUCUGAAGGAGGAGAUGAUCAGAGGAGAGGACUCGGAGAAAAUUAUCAUCAAUGUGGGUGGAACUCGACAUGAAACCUACAAGAGUACCCUGAGGACCCUGCCAGGGACGCGCCUGGCAUGGCUGGCAGAUCCAGAACCCCAAGUCAGCUCGGACUCGGAAACCCCUGCGCCCCCGAGUUCCUCCGAGUUCUUCUUCGACAGACACCCAGGCAUCUUCGCCUAUGUGCUGAAUUACUACCGGACCGGGAAGCUGCACUGCCCGGCAGAUGUCUGUGGGCCCCUCUUUGAGGAUGAGCUGGCGUAUUGGGGUAUUGAUGAGACUGACGUGGAGCCAUGCUGCUGGAUGACCUACAGGCAACACCGGGACGCAGAGGAGGCCCUGGAUAUAUUUGAACCGCCAGAGCCGGAUGACACAGACGACGAGAGAGAGAUGCCGAGGAGGUUCGGUAUCGAGGACUGUCCGGACAGGUCGAGAAACUGCUGCCAAGGUUGGCAGCCCAAGAUGUGGGCCUUGUUUGACGACCCUUACUCGUCAAAAGCUGCCAGAGGAGUGGCAUUAGCCUCUCUGCUUUUCAUCCUGGUGUCCAUCACCACCUUCUGCCUGGAGACGCAUGAAGCCUUCAAUGAAGUGAGGAACCAGACAAAGCGAGUGGUUGUGGGUAAUGUUUCCCGCGUAGAGGAGAGGUCUGAGAUGGUGACCAAGCCUAUCCUCAUCCUGGUGGAGGGCAUCUGUGUGGUUUGGUUCACCUUUGAAUUCCUGGUGCGGAUCAUCUGCUGCCCAGACAAGGUGUUCUUCAUCAAGAACACGCUCAACAUCAUAGACUUUGUGGCCAUUCUGCCAUUUUAUCUGGAGAUGGGCCUGAGCAGCCUGCCAUCCAAAGCAGCCAGCGAUGUGCUGGGCUUCCUGCGUGUGGUGCGAUUUGUUAGGAUCCUCAGGAUCUUUAAGCUGACGAGGCACUUUGUUGGACUGCGUGUGCUUGGCCACACGCUGAGGGCCAGUGCCAAUGAGUUUCUCCUCCUCGUCAUCUUCUUGGCACUUGGUGUUCUCAUCUUCGCCACCAUGAUCUACUACGCCGAGCGAAUCGGAGCCACGCCUAGUGACCCCAACCCCACACACUUCAGGAACAUCCCCAUCAGCUUCUGGUGGGCCGUGGUCACCAUGACAACGCUAGGAUACGGAGACAUGUACCCACAGACGUGGCCAGGUAUGAUGGUGGGGGCACUGUGUGCGCUGGCUGGGGUGUUGACCAUCGCCAUGCCGGUCCCUGUGAUCGUCAAUAAUUUCGGGAUGUACUACUCUCUGGCCAUGGCCAGACAGAAGCUCCCAAAAAAGAAAAAGAAGCACAACCCCAACCCUGACGCCCCGACAGACUCUGCAUCAUUUGGGAAGUCGGAAACAAAUUCGCACAGAGACAGCACUCAGAGCGACACGUGUCCGCUGGCUGCAGAGGAGAGCGUCAGCAGGAACCGCUCAGACUCCAAACAGAACGGAGAUGCUAAUGUGGCCCUUUCAGAGGAAGAGGGCUGCAGCCUGACCCAGCCGCUAUCCCCCAAUGAAAAGUGGACUAUGCGGUGCUCUCGAGGGCGAGACAAGACGAAGAAAGAGGCCACCUGCUUCCUCUUAACCUCUGGAGACCCCAGCGUCCAUACGGGACGCAAUUAGCCAAGCCGUCAGAAACGGCAGUUCGGAAAGCAGUCAGAAACAGCUUGCCUGGCUCUGUCUAUAGAGAGCUGUAAAGACAUCCUUGCUGCCACUGGGAACUACGCUCAGCCAGAGGUCACCACUCUGACCUGAUGCUGAUUGGCUGUGAAAAGGAGAAAGAGCAUGAACUGUCCAUGGAGUAGAUGAUGUGCAGGGCUUCAACUCUGAUCCCUGCUAUCUUGAACUUUAUUGAACUGCAGACUCAGACUGGAUUAUUUUUUAUUUUUGACAAUAUUUUGUUUAUGUCGUCUGCCAAAGCCCUGUGGUACAGAGUCAGUUACAACGCAGAUCUACCAUAUUAACAGUCAUCUAGGAGUUACAUUUGCAUGUAUUGCAUGGACCAGCAUUCUAUGAACAACAUAAAGACUGGCUCCAAAUUAGACUUUUGAUUUAGCAACAUAACAUUGCUUAUCUUGAAAGUCCUGGAAUCGUAUGGAUUACUUUUGUUUUCCAGCUAACACAACCCCACUUAAACACAUACUGUCUGCCAAAGUUGGAAAAUGAAACUGCUCGUUUUCAUAUUUCAGACUCCCCUUUUUAAAAUAUAUAUGCAGUAUAUUUUCAAGAAGGAAAGGGUAAUGCAAUAGUGCCAUGCUCCAGUCAGGACGGAGUAAAAUUUACACCAGAGUCUUUCAGUCCUUGGAGGGAUUAUUGAUCACCAUCGAUCAAGUUUGAUUAAACUACAACCAAACAGUCCUCAUAAGCUGCUUUGGGGUUGUCAUCCCUAAACAAAACAAAACCAUUUUAGUGCCAGAUUAACUUUUGCUUUAGUUAUUUAAGUUGCAAAUAUUUAAUGUCUAAGAGGAAGAUUAAUAAUUGGAAAAUAUAGUUUUCAGUCAUUUUAAAUGAUCUAGCAGCCUUUUAGCUAAUUAGAUACUGCGUUGGCGUAAUUUUCUUUCUAUUCUUGGAGUAAUAUACAUAAACAGUUUGAGCUCCUGUUGGAACUGAAAAGAAAACACCCCUAACUUUCUUUGCUUUAUUGUCUUCUAGCCAUAGGCGCUAUUUUCAAGUAAGAACACUAAGACAUUUGUGAAUAUUGGUUUGUGUAGUCACUGUAACUGUGAACUAGGAUUAGAUGAAAACUUGAAAUCAUAAUUACCUGCUCUCUGCUUUCUAACACUGAUCACAGGGACAACAUGCAGAUUGUCUAUCCAGGCAGGACAUGGUAUGAAUGGUGCUCAGGCUACACAUUGUUUGUAAAUCCUUGUACAAAAAGAGUUUUAACAAAAGCAGAGACAAAUCAAUGCAGCAGUAUUGUUUUGUUACAUUAGCUGUAUACAACUGAUGCAUCACUGCUGGUUGAGUCCGGACCAAAUGUACGCUCUAUUAGAUUACGUGGUAGAUUUUCAGUACUAUUGUUAGUAAAAAAUACAUCCAGUACACUGCCAUUAGAUCCACUUGUGCCUCAUGUUGAGUAAUGGAGCUUAAACGUGUGCAGUAAUGUCAUUAGAUUUAUUCCUUAACACUUCGGGUGGCGUGGGAUCUGUAGGAAACUGUGUUUCCACGUGGAGAGAAGCAGUGGGAGUGUGGUUUCUUUCACAUGUGAUUAUAAUAUAUCCUCCUGGUCUACCAUAGUGGCCUUAUGUUUAAUAAACAAAGGGAAAGCUCAUUUCAUCUGUAUUAGACUGCAGCUCUGUCUCUACGCUGACCCUGCGGUUAUGUAAUUAUGUAUAAGCACAGAUGUACGUAUGUAGCACAGUAGGAUUAUCUUGAUUGUAUUUACAUAAACUAUUUUCUUCUGUAUAUGACAUGUUAUGCAUCAUGAAAUAUCUGUUAUCAAUGAUGAAGGAUUAUUAUUUUGAUAUUUUACCUAUUACCCUUAUUCUCUGUUUUCACUGUUGCAUAUAUGAAUGUGAUGGAGAUGCAAACAGCACAUCAGAUUCAUAUCUCCUCAUUAUGGAUUGUAUAGGCGACUGUGAUGGAUUUCAAUGCAGUCCAACUGUCAUAUGUUGUGUGUGUGUGUGUGUGUGUGUGUGUGUGUGGGGGGGGGGGUGAUGUAUCAUAUAGGCAUGUGUUUCUAUGAAGAAACAGAAAUAAAAUCUAUUCCCCCCUCUGGUGUUGACGAUAC